AUUACAAAGUCUCACCGCAGAUAUAGAUGGAAAUAAGUGAGAGCGAAUCUCAAGAGACUUCGAAUCGUCUUAUUCCCAUCGCUAGGUACGAUGCAUGUUACAAUGAUGCGCAGACGUGUGACCAACGACCACGUUGUCUGCAUGCCGUUCAAUUGAACCGGCGGCAUCUACGGGUAAAUCGUCCGUCUCGUUAUCGUUCCGUUAAAGCACCACGAUACCGGUCCUCUAUUGUCACGACUACGACGCUUCCCCCAUCUUUGGAGUCUUGUGUGCCUUUGGCCAUGUGUUUUCCAUUCUUCGUUACGGAUCUCCAUUGACGUUAAUUGCUAAUACGAAUAGUUAAGAGAAGAUAUCGAGUAAAGCACUUCGACUGUAAUUUUAUUUUUAAUGCUAACAGGUCAUGUUGUGAAAACCCGUUAAGGAUUCUACCUAUGAAACAAGGAACGAAGUAAAGGUCCAACGCGUUAUGAGGCGCACAGAUCGUGGAAACGUGCAUAUCCUGGCGGCCAUAUGUUUUCGGAAACGCUCGUAGGCUCGCUAAUCGGGGACAAUUUCAACUGUACCGAGUAAGCCGCUGAAUACAAAGUAGGAUUUCACGCCGAAAAACACAAUUAAUUACUUUCAGAUCGUUGUACCAACAAGGUCGACCUCGAGGCAAGCGAGUGCACAAUACCAACACGUUUGCCUUCCGAUUGACCGUACUCUCUCCCUGUCUGUGUUUCAAGUACAAAAUGCAUGAGGAUAAUUUAUGAGAAGGUUGUAAAGAUCUAACGUGUACCGAAAACUCGAUUAAAAUUCGAUGGAACUGUUUUACUGAUGUCAGAAAUUGAAAACUUUUGUCACGAUAAAAGCACGGAAAAGUAUGCUCGCUAUGUAGCAGUUCGCUUGCAUAGAGAAAACGUGCUUUUAAUAAGAGUCUUCGUUGAAAAUAUUUUCUCUUCAACAUUCACUAAUGAAGUCACGUAUCGUGACCGAUUGGCUGGCGUUAUUUGAAUACUUUAUUACACAA